GGUGGCCUAGUGGUUAGAGCGUCCGCCUCGGAUGCGGGAGGUCGUGGGUUCGAUCGCAGGUCGAGUCAUACCAAAGACA